UUAUGUAUACAAUGUAUAUGUAUAUAAAGAACCUUAGACUCCAUUGAGGGUUUCCAGUGUGUAGACCUGUGUUCUAAAUUCCCUACUAGAAUUUCCACUUGCCCAUUUGCUAAGGGUGAGGAAUUAUUCCAGCUUAGCCAAUGGGAAAAGAACACUGUUUUUACUGGUUUCAUUACCUUGGUGCUGCGCAGAAGGAUUUCCAUAGCACUGGUGAGGGUGUGGCCCUGAUUGGAGAGAGGCCUGGAAGGUUUCCAUGCCAGCGGAGGGAUUGGAGAAAGACUUGGAAAAACAAUGCCGACCAUUGUUUCCUUAGCCUGCUUUGGCUCCCCUCAGUCUGCUCUGUGAAGACACUGAAUCCAUUGACUAAGUCACUGACAUUUUCCUAGCAGAGGCUUGCAGCGAUUGCUCACAUGAACUGAUCUGAUACCAAGUGGAAGUGACCUGCUCUCAGGCUCAGCACUUAAAGAAGCUUCUGAUGAACACAUCCCUGCCCAAUAAGAAGUUCCAGAAGGAAUUAAAACCAAAACUUAAAUGUUGAAAAGAAAGAGAUCAUCAGUAGCCACCAAAGAAGUUCAUCCAUGUUUUCCCAUAUGACAUCCAGUGAAAACAUAGCUGCAACAUCAGAGAUCACCAUUUGAAAAUCCAAGAAAAUGAGUUUGCUCUAAGUCAACAAAAUUGCUUCCUUGAAUCAAUACUGCCAACCUUUCCAAAUAUUCCUAAGACCCAUGAUACACAUACCAAAAAAAAAAGGUGUGUUGAAGGUGUCCAGAGUGGCAUGGGUCUGGUUCACAGCAGAACUACCACCUUUGGAUGUGGCAGAGAGCAAGAUAUACACUUUCUAUAACUCUAAAGAAUAAUCAAGGGAGUCACAGUGAAUCACAAGACUGCAAAUUCCUCGAGAGGUACAUGAAGCAGUGGAAAUAUGUUUGCACUGGAGUCAAACAGCCAUGGCUUGGAAGUCCAACUCUUCAUCUUCCAGCUCUGUGACCUUGCGAAGUUACUUAAUUUUAAAUGAAAUAAUGUAAUAAAGCACUUAACACAAUAGCUAUUAUUAUUGUUACUAUCUUUUUAUUCCUAAAGAUCUUAGUAACGCUUUGAAGAUCAUCACUUUUUCGAAAAUAUGUGUUGGCUGAUUUUUAUUUCAUUGAUCAAACUGUCUAAAUCCAGUCAUGUUAAUAUUUGGCACUAUUAGAAAGUAACUCA
rnacentral:lncRNA from 1 species